rnacentral:rRNA from 1 species
GGCGAACGCUGGCGGCGUGCUUAACACAUGCAAGUCGAACGGAAAGGCCCUGCUUUUGUGGGGUGCUCGAGUGGCGAACGGGUGAGCAACACGUGAGUAACCUGCCCUUGACUUUGGGAUAACUUCAGGAAACUGGGGCUAAUACCGGAUAGGAGCUCCUGCUGCAUGGUGGGGGUUGGAAAGUUUCGGCGGUUGGGGAUGGACUCGCGGCUUAUCAGCUUGUUGGUGGGGUAGUGGCUUACCAAGGCUUUGACGGGUAGCCGGCCUGAGAGGGUGACCGGCCACAUUGGGACUGAGAUACGGCCCAGACUCCUACGGGAGGCAGCAGUGGGGAAUAUUGCACAAUGGGCGGAAGCCUGAUGCAGCAACGCCGCGUGCGGGAUGACGGCCUUCGGGUUGUAAACCGCUUUCGCCUGUGACGAAGCGUGAGUGACGGUAAUGGGUAAAGAAGCACCGGCUAACUACGUG